UGGUGGAGUGAUUUGUCUGGUUAAUUCCGUUAACGAACGAGACCACAGCCUACUAAAUAGUGAUGCGUGUGGCGACACACGUAGAUUGCUUCUUAGAGGGACAUUUCGGGUCUACCGGAAGGAAGUUUGUGGCAAUAACA
rnacentral:rRNA from 1 species